GAAUAGCACUAGGGGUGUUUACGAACUGAGAUGAGGGCAACCUCAAACCCUUUGAACCUGAACUAGGUCAUACUAGCGGAGGAAAGUGUCAAUCGAUGAAC
rnacentral:ncRNA from 1 species